rnacentral:rRNA from 1 species
UCAAGCUAGAAAGAGCGCAAGGGGAAUGCCUUGGCAUCAGGAGCCGACGAAGGACGUGACAAGCUGCGAUAAGCCACGGGGAGGAGCAAAUAUCCGCUAUAUCCGUGGAUUUCCGAAUGGGGGAACCCGCUCAAGCAAUACUUGAGCAUCGUGCGUUGAAUCAAAUAGGCGUACGAAGGGAACGGCCUGAACUGAAACAUCUAAGUAGGGCCAGGAAAAGACAUCAACCGAGAUUCCGCUAGUAGUGGCGAGCGAACGCGGAGGAGGCCAAACCGAGGGACGCAAGUUCUUCGGGGUUGCGGACAGACAUCAAGACCAGAGGUAAUUAAGAGAACGGCGUGGGAAAGCCGGCCACAGAAGGUGAGAGCCCUGUAUCUGAAAAUGAAGACUGGCAGUCUGGAUCCAGAGUACCGCGGGACACGUGAAACCCCGUGGGAAACCGGGUGGACCACCAUCCAAGCCUAAAUACUACCUGAUGACCGAUAGAGGAGCAGUACCGUGAGGGAAAGGUGAAAAGGACCCCGGGAGGGGAGUGAAAGAGAACCUGAAACCUUGUGCCUACAAGCACAUAGAGCCCGUCAAAGGGUGAUAUGGUACUUUUUGUAGAACGGUCCGGCGAGCGAUUGUACGUUGCGAGCUUAAGGUCUUAAGGACUGGAGGCGUAGCGAGAGCGAGUCUAAACAGGGCGUUUAGUAGCGUGCAAUGGGCCCGAAACCGGGUGACCUACCCAUGAUCAGGCUGAAGUGAAAGUAAAAUUUCAUGGAGGGCCGAACCGACCUCCGUUGAAAAGGCGGCGGAUGAAUUGUGGGUAGCGGAGAAAUUCCAAUCGAACUCGGAGAUAGCUGGUUCUCCCCGAAAUAGCUUUAGGGCUAGCCUCAUAUUAGAUACCCGGAGGUAAAGCACUGAAUGGCCUAGCGCCCGAGAGGGUAGCGAAGCCUAUCAAACUAAGAAUGCCGGAGUAUUGAUGUAUGGGAGUCAGACAGUGUGAGAUAAAUCUCAUUGUCAAAAGGGAAACAGCCCAGAUCUACAGCUAAGGUCCCAAAUUGUAUCUAAGUGGAAAACGAUGUGGAAAUACGCAGACAACCAGGAUGUUGGCUCAGAAGCAGCCACUCAUUUAAAGAGUGCGUAAUAGCUCACUGGUCGAGCGUCUCUGCGCGGAAAAUUUAACGGGGCUAAGAUACAAACCGAAGCUUAGGCUGCACGUAAGUGCGGGGUAGGGGAGCGUUGUGUAAGCGGAGAAACAGUAGCGUAAGCGGCUGUGGAGUUUACAGAAGUGAGAAUGCCGGAAUGAGUAGCGCGAAUGUGGUGAGAAUCCACAUGGCCGGAAACCUCAGGUUUUUGGAGGAAGGUUCGUCCGCUCCAAGUUAGGCGGGAGCUAAGGUCAGGCCGAAAGGCGUAGCCGAUGCACAGACGGUAGAGAUUCCGUCCCCACCGAAAGAUUUAAGCACAGGGACACUUUUUGAAGGUCGGAGCCAGGUGUUGGUUCUGGUAGUGAUCGAGGGAAAUAUAGUACCGAAGUCCGGCUGGAGAAGAGGCGAGAAAAGCUGUGUGUAUAUCUAAGGUGCCCGUACCGCAAACCGACACAGGUAGGUAGGAAGAAGAUUCUAAGGCCAACGGGAGAAGGGUUGUUAAGGAACUCGGCAAAUUGACCCCGUAACUUCGGGAGAAGGGGUGCUCCAGAGAUGGAGCCGCAGAGAAUCGGCCCAAGCAACUGUUUACCAAAAACACAGGUUUGUGCUAAAUCGAAAGAUGACGUAUACGAGCUGACGCCUGCCCGGUGCUGGAAGGUUAAAAGGAGAUGUGCAAGCAUUGAAUUGAAGCCCCAGUGAACGGCGGCCGUAACUAUAACGGUCCUAAGGUAGCGAAAUUCCUUGUCAGGUAAG